GAUGAACGCUAGCUACAGGCUUAACACAUGCAAGUCGAGGGACCGGCGCACGGGUGAGUAACACGUAUCCAACCUGCCCUUUACUCGGGGAUAGCCUUUCGAAAGAAAGAUUAAUACCCGAUGUAAAGGAUGGGGAUGCGUUCCAUUAGGUUGUUGUUGAGGUAACGGCUCACCAAGCCUUCGAUGGAGAGGGGUUCUGAGAGGAAUGUCCCCCACAUCGGAACCGAGACACGGUCCAAAGUCCUAGGGGAGGCAGCAGUGAGGAAUAUUGGUCAAUGGGCUUUAGCCUGAACCAGCCAAGUAUCGUGAAGGAUGAAGGCUUAUGGGUCGUAAACCUCUUUUAUACAAGAAUAUGGAUUAGAUGAAUAAGGAUCGGCUAACCCCGUGCCAGCAGCCGCGGUAAUAC
rnacentral:rRNA from 1 species